GAUGAACGCUAGCUACAGGCUUAACACAUGCAAGUCGAGGGACCGGCGCACGGGUGAGUAACACGUAACCAACCUGACCUUUACCCGGGGAUAGCCUUUCGAAAGAAAGAUUAAUACCCGAUGUAAAGGAUGGGGAUGCUUUCUAUUAGGUUGUUGGUGAGGUAACGGCUCACCAAGCCUUCGAUGGAUAGGGGUUCUGAUAGGAAGGUCCCUCACAUUGGAACUGAGACACGGUCCAAACUCCUACUGGAGGCAGCAGUGAGGAAUAUUGGGCAAUGGGCGUGAGCCUGAAACAGCCAAGUAGCGUGAAGGAUGAAGGCUUAUGGGUCGUAAACUUCUUUUAUAUAAGAAUAUGUAUUAUAUGAAUAAGGAUCGGCUAACUCCGUGCCAGCCGCCGCGGUAAUUC
rnacentral:rRNA from 1 species